GACGAACGCUGGCGGCGUGCUUAACACGCAAGUCGAACGGAAAGGCCCUGCUUUUGUGGGGUGCUCGAGUGGCGAACGGGUGAGUAACACGUGAGUAACCUGCCCUUGACUUUGGGAUAACUUCAGGAAACUGGGGCUAAUACCGGAUAGGAGCUCCUGCUGCAUGGUGGGGGUUGGAAAGUUUCGGCGGUUGGGGAUGGACUCGCGGCUUAUCAGCUUGUUGGUGGGGUAGUGGCUUACCAAGGCUUUGACGGGUAGCCGGCCUGAGAGGGUGACCGGCCACAUUGGGACUGAGGUACGACCCAGACUCCUACGGGAGGCAGCAGUGGAGAAUAUUGCACAAUGGGCGGAAGCCUGAUGCAGCGACGCCGCGUGCGGGAUGACGGCCUUCGGGUUGUAAACCGCUUUCGCCUGUGACGAAGCGUGAGUGACGGUAAUGGGUAAAGAAGCACCGGCUAACUACGUG
rnacentral:rRNA from 1 species